GCCCGCUCAAGAAACUACAAAGAAUUGACGGGGCCCGCACAAGCGGUGGAGUAUGUGGUUUAAUUCGAUGCAACGCGAAGAACCUUACCUGGUCUUGACAUCCCGGAGACCCUUAGGAAACUAGGGGGUGCUUCCAUCUGGAAGAAUCUGGAGACAGGUGCUGCAUGGCUGUCGUCAGCUCGUGUCGUGAGAUGUUGGGUUAAGUCCCGCAACGAGCGCAACCCUUGCCUUUAGUUGCCAGCAGUUCGGCUGGGCACUCUAAAGGGACUGCCGGUGUUAAACCGGAGGAAGGUGGGGAUGACGUCAAGUCCUCAUGGCCUUUAUGACCAGGGCUACACACGUACUACAAUGGCCGAUACAAAGGGCAGCGACACUGCGAGGUGAAGCCAAUCCCGUAAAAUCGGUCUCAGUCCGGAUUGGAGUCUGCAACUCGACUCCAUGAAGUUGGAAUCGCUAGUAAUCGUGGAUCAGCAUGCCACGGUGAAUACGUUCCCGGGCCUU
rnacentral:rRNA from 1 species